rnacentral:lncRNA from 12 species
CCACCUCAACAGCCACAACCAUUUACAAAUCUUUCUAAUGUUUUGUCAGGUUCUGGAUCCAGUGCCUUGCAGUCAUGCAGAGCUGCCCAUAAUGGUUAUUUAUGUGCUUGGGUCCUGGAGAAGCGAUGCUGGCCGACAGUCAGCCCAGGCUGGUCCCUGACACCAGACUCAAGAAGACUUAACACUUGCGGCAUAGAAGCCACCAAGUCAGGUCUCAGCGCCUUGGGGUAACCUGCGCCGGCCUGUGCUGGGGGCCUAGUUUCUGACGAGCACCUGACUCUUCCUCGCCGGCAACCAGGAGGACACAUACCAGGUUUCAGGCUUCAGAGGGAGAGAGACGAGCACUCCCAGAGAUCUCAGCUCUUGGCUCCUUGCAGCCUCUGUGUCUGUCUCCUAGAUACGAGGCAGGA